rnacentral:rRNA from 1 species
UACGAGAGGCGCAAACGUUAUUCGGAAUUACUGGGCUUAAAGAGUUCGUAGGCGGCGCAGAAAGUAGGGUGUGAAAGCCCUCGGCUCAACCGAGGAAUUGCGCUCUAAACUACUGUGCUUGAGGGACCUAGAGGUGAGCGGAACUGAUGGUGGAGCGGUGAAAUGCGUUGAUAUCAGGAGGAACACCGGUGGCGAAGGCGGAUCUCUGGGCCAUUACUGACGCUGAGGAGCGAAAGCGUGGGGAGCGAACAGG